rnacentral:lncRNA from 10 species
AAAAAAUUACAGACAGAACUUCCAGCUUCUGCUGAUGGUGUAGGCAUCUGGAAAAUGUGUCUUUAUUAAAAUUACAUUUAAAAACGAGUGAUAUUCAGGGUCAUGACUUUCUGAACCCAUCAGAGAGCUGAAUUGCAGGGCAAUUAAAUAGUUUAAAAUGAAGGAAAGAGAGGUGCCUCCUACAAUAACAGAGAUGGGCUGCAAACAUUGGAUGACCUGUGGCAGAGCACGGAAAGAAGGCAAGGAUGACAGCUACAUGCAGACAAGGUCUCCAGAUUUGCCACCCAUGCUGAGUGCCGUGGUGUGAUCAUGGCUUAUUUCAACCUCAACCUCCCCCACUCAAGCGAUCCUCCUGCCUCAGCCUCUGGAGUAGCUGGGACUACAGGCACGCACCACCACACCCAGCCAUAAUUUGCCUCUUGCUGUAACUAAAAGGUCACAAAAACAAAGAAUUCUAAAAAAUCUUCUUCUUAAGUGCUGAAUACAUAUAGGAACUACAGUUCUCAGACCUGCAGUGAGUUCUGACCAAUGGAAUUCAGUGGGAUGAUAGAUGCUGCCUUUGAAGCCACCCCAUCAACUGGCUCAUCUCCUCCUGUCUCAGCUCUUUCUCCUGCUGCAUCCUGAUGCAGGACCACUGCACAACCUCACAAACCUUAUGUGGAAAGUAGUGGAGCCACCAGAUGUUAUGGGUAUCCUUUAAUGGAGAACUUUACACUACUUUGAAAUGACAGUUUUAUACUUUUCAUAAGAAAGAAAUAAACUUCCAUUGUACUAAGCCACUGUGUUUUGGGCUUUGUUGGUUAAAUGGUGAGCAAUAUCCUAACGAUUGCACUGAAACACCACUUCUCCACCAUGGGAGCAAUGGAACUUAGAAUUGUAGAGUGAACAAGGUGGAUGACAAGGAAAAUAAUGGGAGCAGGCAUUUUAUAUAUACAAUUAUGGAAAGCACACCAGAGUCUUCUUUCUUUUAAUGUAGCUGCUAUGCUCCUCGGAUCUUCCAGUUAGAAAUGUGUUCUAGGAGAUACUCAGAACUGAUCUUCGAGGUAGAUUGACUCUAGGUGGGUUAAGGUCUGUGACUACUGUGUUCACUCAGCAUGCUGGGGCUCUGAGGCAGAAUUAAAUAAAAAUAAUCACCAUUACUCCUAGAUGGCAUGUCUAAUGUGCCUAAAUUUAGGAUAAAUGGCUAACUGUACAUACACACACACACACACACACACACACACACACACACACAGAGGCACACUUAUGUAGCAUGUCAGUUAUAUAAUACAAGAUAUUUCACUAACCAGAAAAUAAACAAAAGAAGCCAAAAUGUGACUCAUUCCUGGUGGUUCCCGGGAUGGCUUUAUAGUUAUGACCCAGACUGGGUAACCUGUUGUCAGCAAUCAGAAUGUGGUAUUAAUUAGAAGUACUAAGCUGAGGGAUUACCAGCCCCCGGGCCAGAAGCAGAAUCUAUAAUAUUUAAACAACAAUAUGUGAGUAGUGUAAGUAUUAGCUCAAAAAUCAUUUGUUUUUAGAAAAAGGAAAUUAGGAAUUGCCUGCCUGUGUUACAAUUUUAAUGUCGUGAUUCCUUUUGUCCAGCUGAUGCUGUGUCUGCUGAUGUGGCAGCACCUUGCCUGGGCUGUUGUGAUGGCUCAUUCGUUCCUCAGCAGUUUCAAAGUGGCUAAUGAAAUUCAGGCAACCUCCCCUCAGAGUUUCUUGGUCCACCAGUUCUUCUAGUUUUUGUUGUUUUGUUUUAUUUUGAUUUGCUUUUACAUUUCCUUACAUUUAUUAUGGAUGAAUAGCAAUUAAGAUCUUCAAGGACAGAGUGGGAAAAAUAAAAUUUAUUGUUUUCUAAUGUUCAAGGAUUUUAAAUAAAUUGUUUUGGGAGCUGUAGAAUAAGAAUUUUAAUAACCCUAUGGUCGUUGUUAUAAUGCUAAAGAUAAUUUAAACUUGUACAAUAGAUACAUAUUUGGUACUUUCUAAUACAUUAUUACUGUAUCAUCCAUCAUAGAUUGAUUUCUAGUGUAAAUAGAAUGUAAUUCUGUUUAGGUAUGGAACAAAUUACUUCCGCCAUAAUGGUAUAAAUAAUUGUGAGAGAAAUUGAUUUAUAAGAAAGAAGUGUGAUCCUAGAAUCCAAAUAUAUUAGUGCAAGAAUUUACAGGUAUUCUAAAAUAGUUUCUUUACCCUAUAGGUGAAAUCUCAAAUCUGGUUUCAGAUUCCUCAGCAAUGUUUCUUGAUCUUAUCUAUCCAAAAAUACAUCAUUAGUUACCAGUACUUCUUUUGCAUUCUAGUCCAUUAUUCUCACGGAGCAUUUCAGGACUAUUUUCAAAUUUUAAUUUAACUUUCUUCCACCAACCAUAAAAUAUCCUUACUGCUAUCUCAAUCAAUUAAUCUUCCUAGCCCCUUCUUAUCUCUAUUUAUUUUUAUAAAACAUGUAUAGCUGCAACCACACAAAUACAACAACAAAAAAUGCGGACAUUUAUUUUAGCAAAAUUUACAUAUAAAUAUUGUUAACAUAAAAUGUGAUUUAGACAGAAAAAGACCACCCAAUUUUUUAUUUGAUCCUAUUGGCAUUAUGGAUUAGGAUUUAUAGUGAAAUUUAUGCUGAAUGAAAAUGAUUUAAGUUCUGAAAAUGUCACAUGAAAAAAUAAUAACCUAUUCAUUGAACAUGAGUAGGUACUAUUGUAUAUGCAUAUGUAUACGUAUACGUAUACGUAUAUGUAUAUAAGCCUGUGUGAAUAUUUGUAGCAACUUGGUUCAUAAUUACUAAAAAAUAAGAUAUCCUCCUUACCUUUUUAAUAUCUGUAGGACAUGUAGUUAUAGUUUCUUUUUCAAUCCUGAUAUUGGUAAUUUGUGUUUUCUCCUUUUCUUUUUCUUGUUCUGCCUCACUAAAAUUAUUGGUUUAAUUAAUUUUUAAGAAAAUCACUUUUAGCUUUUUUUUCUUUUUAUGUUUAACAGCUUUAUUGAGAUAUAAUUCAUAUACCAUAAAGCUCACCCACUGUAAGUCUACCACUUGUCUUAGUCCACUUGGGCUGCUAUAACAACAAUUCCAGAAACUGGCUGGUUUGUAAAGAACAUAAAUUUAUUUAUUACAGUUCUAGAAGCUGGGAAGUUCAAGACGGAAUGAAUUAACAGCCUGUCAUAUACCCAUACAAUGGAAUACUUAGUAUUCAAAAAGAAAAAGAAAAAUACUAUCAAUUUACACAACAAUUUGAAUGAAUUUUAAAUGCAUUUUGUUAGGUGAAACAAUCUAAACCCAGAAGGCCACAUAUAGCAUGAUUUCAUUUGUAUGACAAUAAGAAAAAAAUCAAAAUGAUAGAGGCAGAAUAUAAUUCAGCGGUUAGUGAGAAUAAAGGGAUUAAUUCUAAAGAAAAUGUUUAUAAUAAAAACACUGUUCUGUAUGAUAUAAUGGUGCUUGAUAAAAACUACAUUUGUUUGUCAAAACCAAUAGAAAUGUACAUUAUACAUUUUACUGUGUACAAUUUUUUAAAAAGCAGGAUGUCAGUGGAUCCAAGAAUAAAAUGUACUCUGCAAAAAAUUAGCCUAAAUGCAUUAAAUAUGUCACUUAAGAGGGCGUAGAGAAAGGAAGUGACCUAAAUUCCUUUGGAAAACAGUAUCUCCAGUGAACACCAGGAAGCUAAGAAUAAAAGAAACUGUACAAAAACAUUGUACCCUAGUUGGCAAACUUUCUUCUUACAGGGAUAUAUGUUGCCAAUUCUGAAACUAUUUUACACAUAUACUAGAGUUGAAGAAAUAAGGAAAUAAAUCAUAAAUAACAGGGGCUAGGAUUCUCACUUUCAGAAGAAGAAGUUACUCAUAAACAUCAUGGACAAAUAAAAUCAAUCCUAUGGUGCUGAAUUAGCUUUGGAAGUAUCAGUAUAAGCUCAUUUAUCUUAAUGUAUAUUUAGAUAACACACAAAUAAAUACAAAUAUGAAUGUAUACCUGGGCUGCUAUACAUACCUGUAUCUCUUAGCUCUGUUUGCCAAGAGUGCCUAGAAGCAGUGAGCCCCCAGCAGCAAUGAACACGCCUAGUGCCCGGAUUUUGGUUUCUAAAUGCCACCCUCCAAUUAAAAGAAACAGAAAUUUUGGAAGAAGAGCUGAUUUUAGAGUUGGGAUGAUAAAUACACGAUGAGCUUGUAGUAUCUUGUUAUGUCAGAAAGUAAGAUGUGCUUUGUUUCUACCAAAGAAAGAAAGAAAGAAAAAAGAUAGAGGCAUUUCUAAAGGACACAGAAGAUAACCUAAAAAAAUCCCUCAAUGUACAAAUCUAGAAUUUGAAUUUGAAUAAUAAUAAUAAUGGUAUUGUUGUAGAGAUCUCAAAGAAUGAAAUAUUCAUUUCAAAGAAUGAAAGUUCAUAUUGCUGUAAAUAAGUGAUUAAAUAAAUAUAUUGGCAAAAGACACAAUUCUUUACAGGAAAAUUCAAAUAAAAUAUGAAAAUAACUUCCUUCCAAACACCAUGAGGUGUAGCUUAAUUCCUCUUUCCUGGAGUGUGAGUUUGACUUAGUGAUUCUCUUUUCAAGGACAUAGUCUGGAAAGUUAGGAUAGUAACUUUAUGCCAGACAAUGCCUUAAUCAAGUGACCAAGGUGAAUGCUGUGUGAUAAGUCAUGCUGUGUUGGUGUCACAUAUUCUCACAUUUUAUGUGAUAGAGACACUUCAUCUCUAUGAUGCUCUGAAAAACAACCUAUAGCUCCAAUAUAGCCAUGAUAAAACUUCAGAGACUCAAACUGAGGGACAUUCUACAAAAUGCCUGAACCAUACUCUUCAAAAUUCUCAAGGUUAUGUAAACAGGAAGAUUGAGAAAUUUUCACAGACUGGAAACUAAGGAGACAUGACGAUUGAAUUCAAUGCAGUCUCUUAAGUCAGAUCCUGGAGAAAUAAAAGGAUAUUAAUCGGGAAGCUCAUAAAAUCUAAAGAUGCUGUUUAGGUAAUAGUAUUAUGCCAAUGGUAAUUUUUUAAUUUUGCAUUAAUUUAAUAAUUUUGGAUUACAGUUGUGUAAAAUGUUAACAUUAGGGGAAGCUAAGGGAACGUCCCUGGGAACUCUUCAUACUAUCUUUGCAAUUCUUCAGUGAAUCUAGCAUUAUUCAAAAAUUUUUUAAAAGUUUAAAAUGUCUGAAAAGUAUAUUUCUUAUAUAUCAAGUACAACAUGUUUAUAAUUUGAGAAACUUUAAAUAUAUGUCAUGGAAAUGACCUGAGAUGAUUAUCACCCUGCAUGUUCAGGGCUUCAAUGUGAGUUUAGUUUAUGCAUUAAGUCCUCUAAAGAAAGCAACUAUAAAUAUUAAUCAGAACUCUUCUCUGACCUAUAUCAUAAUUUAAUAUAACAUUCUACAUUUAGAAGGGAACUUAAAUAAAAUCUUUUCAAAUUCCUUAUACAAUAUUGUAAAGAUCUCUUUCAAUGCUUACAGACACAGGCAUGUGUCAUUAUCCAACACUCGGUUCAGAAAAUCUUUUUAUUGAGCUAACACAAAUAUGAAUUUCAUUUUUAUCCACUAUGUCACUCUAAGCUUCUUAUUUUGACAGAAAAUAAAUCAAUUAAAUAGCUGUAGCACUUGUAUGUGCACAUCACAAGGGUAAAUAAUCCCAAGCAUUUUUUGUUUGUUUCAAGAACCCUUGUCACUCUUUAAACUGCAUUUAAAAAUCUUUAUGUAUUCCUCACAGUGUCUUACAAUUGGAACGAAAUGUAUUAUACCCAUUGUUGUUUGAUUGAUCAAGAUUUAAGAGGAACCAGAGAGCUCUUAUCUACAUAUUUUCAUUCUGUACCAUAACCUAAAUUACCAUAAGCUCAUCACACUAUUGAAAAAUAUUGAUGUUGUAUACUCAAAUUACUUCCACCUAUAUUUCCUAUAAGUAUUUUGAUCCCACACUUUUGAAUUAGUUUUUCCUAGAAUGAAUAAAGCUUUUUAGUUAUUGUCAUUAUACGAUUCAUCUUAUUGUUUUGCCUUUCAAAAUUAUUUUGAAUAAUUAUAUUCCAUUUGUUUCAUAAUCUUAAAGAUAGAAUGUUAUCAAUGCCCUCAGCUGAAUCAUAGAUAAUAAUAACUGUGGGUGAAGGACAGAAUUACAAAAUACAACUUGUGCGAUUCUCCUCCAUGUUAAAGUCUACUGUCUUGGAAUUUACUAAGAAUGAACCAGUCUAACAGUGUAUGUAGCAUACAUGCUUCCAUUUUUUUCAUUAACUUAAGAGAAAUAGUAUUCAAUCCUUUGGUGAAAUUCGAUGUCUACCAAAUGUGUGUCUGUCUAGUACUGAUUACAAGAUUAUAAAAAUAUAAGUUAAAUGUACUCUGUGUUAGAGAAUAGAUGUUUGUCCCUAGUGAUGGAAAGUGCUUGUGUGUGUGUGUGUGUGUGUGUGUGUGUGUGUGUGUGAAUAUAUUUUAAUAACCAAAGCUAGAUAUUGGGCAUGAUUACAUCAGAGUGACUGGUAUAGAUCUAUAGAAUCUAUGCAAUCUACCUUCUGUCUUUCCAAAGAUAUAACAACUAAUUUUGUCCUUUUUAGACUAAAACUUUAUUUCACAUAAUCUAUUAUUUUUCAAGAUCAUUGACAUUGUUUUAGAAAUAUAUUUUUGUGUCAUUAUUUUCUUAUAAACUUUAUAAAACACACUGAAGAGUCUUAGAUUAUUUUCAAAAUGAACAUAUAGGCAUCUUAAAGACAAUAAAAUUUAUAAAUAUUGAUGUAUAGAAAUUAGAUUAUAUGGAUAUAUCUGUUAUAUACAAUUAUUAUGUCUGUUAUAUACAGAUUAUUGUUAUGAUCUGAGUUGUCUUGCCAAAGUUUAUAUGUUGAAGACCUAAACCUUGGUAUCUCUCAAUGAAACUGUAUUUGGACAUAAGAUGUUUAAAGACAUAGGUAAGUUAAAAUGGAGUCAUUAAAUGGGGUUAAAAUGGGGCCCUAAUCCAAUAUGACUUUUAACAAGAGAAGAUUAGCACAUACACACACACAGAGGGAAGAUCAUAUGAAGAUACAGAAAGAUGAUUCCCAUGUUCAAGCAAAGGACAGAGGCCUCUGCUUGAAUAAUCAUCAUCAUCAUCUCAGAGUUCUAGCCUCUGGAAUUGUGAGAAAACUAAUUUCUUUUGUUAAAGCCACACAAUCUGUUGUUUGGGCAUAGCUUUGUUAUGGCCAGCCCUAGUAAACUCAUAAAUAUAUAACUAAAGAUUAUUUAGUUCUCAUUUUACAAAGAUGGCAAUUUUUUUUCAACUUUUAUUUUAGGUUCGGGGUACAUGUGCAAGGUUCGUUACAUGGGCAUAUUGUGUCUCACUGAGGUUUGGUGUACAAAUGAUCCUGCCACCCAGGUAGUGAGGAUAGUAACUGAUAGGCAGUUUUUCAACCAUCCCCUCCUCCAUGUGAGUGUUUCCCAGCAGCUAUCAUUUCCAUCUUGUUGCCCAUGAGUACUCAAUGUUUAGCUCCCACUUACAAUUGAGAACAUGCAGUAUUCGGUUUUCUGUUCCUACUUAAAUUCACUUGGGAUAAUACACUCUAGCUGCAUCCAUGUUGUGCAAAUACAUGAUCUUGUUCUUUUUUAUGGCUGCAUAAUAUUUCAUGGUGUAUAUGUACUACAUUUUCUUUAUCCAGUCCACUGUUAAUGGGCAUCUAGGUUUAUUUCAUGUCUUUACUACUGUGAAUGUCUUUACUAUUAUGAUGAACAUAUGCACACAGGUGUCUUUUUGGUAGAAUGUUUUAUUUUCCUUUGGGUGUAUACCCAGUAAUGGGAUUGCUGAGUUGAAUGGUAGUUCAGUUGUAAGUUCUUUGAGAAAUCUCCAAACUAUUUUCCGCAGUGGUUGAACUAAUUUACAUUCCCACCAACAGUGUGUAAGUAUUCCCUUUUCUCCACAGCCUCAUCAGCACCUGCUGAUUUUUGACUUUUUAGUAAUAGCCAUUCUGACUGGGUGAGGAUGGUAUCUCAUGGUGCUUUUGAUUUCAAAGAAGGCAAAAGUUUUGCUGAGAAUUACCAUGCAUAUGUCGCAUACACGUUUUAGUAAAAUAGCAAGCACAUAUGCAUACACAUAAUAGCCUAUGGAGGCUGCUCAGACUACAUCUAAUACAAAUUUUCAGUUUUGCUUCAAUAAGGGUGAGAUCACGAACCACCCAGUGAUAUCAGGAAAGAGCCCCUGCACUGCAUCCAGCUGGGUCAGCACUCCUGCCCUGACCGCGUUCAGUUUGCGCCAGUGGCUCCCUGCUGGAGGUCCCUAUUACUAAUCAGAGGCAUGAGCAUUUGAAAGCACUUUCUCAAUGUAGCUUUUAAAAAUGGAUUUUUUUAUUGGCUUUAUUUCCUACAUAUUUUGCAAAAUGCUUGCUAUAUACUGUUUCCUCAUUUUACGUGAUGAAAGUAAGAGAAUGAUUUUCUUGUUUUCUCUAACCUCUGUAUUUUGAUUUUGUAUUUAACUCUUCCUCAUUUUCCCACCUUCAUUCUCUGUCUUUAUCAAUGUUUUAAUGCUGCAGUGGUGCGACGAUUAUUUAAUAUCACUUUUGUGGAAUAAUUUUGUGUUUGAAGUCAUCAAUAUCAAGACAUAUCAUUGUGACAUCAAUGGUCAGUCAAAGAUUCCUAAGAACUUGACUACCCAACCUUGUGACAAAUUUGACGACUUCUCCUUUUCAAAUAUUGCCUAAUACUCAUAAACAUUUUGUUAUUUUUUUAUAUCAAAGGUGGACGUAAAAUAACAAGCAUGUCUGCUAUUUUCAUUUACAGAUUCUUUUCCUUGUAGAUGAAAGAGAUAGUUGGUUCCUCAGACUAGCAUAAGGCUGUCUUCUGAUCAUUGGCAAAUACUAAGCACCAACUUUUUAUUACCCUGAGUCACCUUUGAAUAGUAUCUUGGCUAUAAUCAUGAACUAGAUGCUAUUUCUACAUAAAGCUAAAGUAAAAAACACUUAUUUAAAAAUCUAUAGGUGAUGUACUGCGGAGUGCAUAAUUGUUUAAAGCAGCAUAGUAAAAAAGAGCUCUUUUAUCUGCUAAUGGGUAAAAAAUGGGUUGGUGAAAGUUGCUCUAGCAUCCCUGGAAACCAGUAGUUCUCAGUGCCAGAAACAAUGCAUUAACUUUUAACGUAAACUAUUUUGGAGUCCUUUGAGAACUCUAAGAACUGCUAUAUAGCCGUUGGAGUAUAUAUAUAUAUAUAUAUGGCAGUUCUUGGAGUUCUCAGAGAGAGAGAGAGAGAGAGAGAGUGUGUGUGUGUGUGUGUGUGUGUGUGUGUGUAUGUGUAUAGCGGUUCUUUGAGAGCUCAAAUAUAUAGAGAGAAUAUAUAUAUAUAUAAAUAACAGUUGGAGUAUAUAUAUACUCACAUAUAAUAUAUAUAUUCUAUAUAGAGAGAAUUACAUUAUCAUAUGUAAGCAUAAGCACAUAUUAUAUAUAAUUACAUAAGUUAUAGACAUAUAUACAUAUAAUUAUAUAUUCUCUAAAGUUAUAUAUUAUAAUAUAUAAAACUUUCAUUAGAAUCAUUACUAUAACUUACCUGAACAAAUAUGACAUGUGUGACUGAAAAUGGUUCACCUCCCUGGCAAAUGUGGCACACAUGAUGGACAGCGGGAGAAUAGAACUCCACUGUCUCUCAGCUGUGAUCUAUCCUGCCUCUUUGUAAUCUUGACAUUAACCUUAAUUGCUAAAUUGGGGGAAAAAACAAAUGGCACUUCAGGUUAUCCUCUCUUUGGGAGUCUUCCACCCAAAAAGGAGGCUUCAAAUAUCAAUUGGCUGAUAUACUCUAAUGGCUGCUAUUUCCUAAGCAGAUGCCACUGAAUUUCAUAUAAUUACCCUGACUCUACUAUCCAUAAUGAUUUUUAAGCCACUGAUUUUGAGCUAUCCAUUUUGAUUUUGAUGGAAGUGAGCUCAUCUUGAAAGGGAUGUUGACAAGCAAUAGAAUAGGAGAGCUCUUUUAUCCACAUAUACUAAAUAAAUCACUGGAGUUGAACUUGAGCUGAACUGUAACGAAUGUUCACCUGAUUCUGAAAUGAGCUAUAUUGAAUCAUGAUGCCACAGAAUCACAACUUCUACAAGAAUCUCAGCUCUCUGACGUCAGUGUGUUGUCCCGCAGCUCUAGGCACCUGCUGAGGUAGGCUUGGGAAAGAGGACUAGUGCAGAAUCAUGGACCCAUUUCACCCACUACAUGAAGCCAUCCCAAUGAGAAUAACAUUCCUGAAAGGAACCCUCUUGGAUGUAUCUGGGCCAGGCACUGGAAUGAUGUUUUGAAUAAUUAUGAAAAUGCAAUUUUGUUUUUUUUCUAAAAGAGUUGUUUCUAAUCCUUUUUUGUAUUUAAGGUAGUAAACAUAAAAUUUAUAUCUGCGUUUUCUAUUCUCUUAGAUAUUAAAUUCAUUGGUGGCAGAAACCAUACUAUUUCAAAGAAAAAGUGCCCCCCGAGGCAAGGCUUUUGUGGCGGAGGAGUUGUUGGGCAUGGUAGUUGGGUUCUUCCUGCGAGCCACGGUUGCAUGCUGAAAUUUGUAGACAAAACUCAAAUGUCUGUCAAGCAUGCUCAUAAUUAUAUUUUAAGUGCCUCACUACCACAAAUUAUGCAGUCAAGUCUCCCAUAUUUGGGGACAUCGCAGGGGUCAGCAUGUCCAGAGUGCAAUGGAUAAGCCUUGCCCUGGGAAAACCACCUUCGUGAUCAUGGUUAUCUCCCCUGCCAGAAAGAGAUUUAAAAGAACACCUGAAGGGAAAUAAGAAGAGAAACAGAAUAUGAAGAGGAUUCAACCAAAUAGAGCCAAUGAAGGAGACAGAGCAACUUAAAUAAUAAGAGCAAUUUUAAAAAAUGGGACAAAAAGGAAAGGAUACUCAGUGCAUAGUUGAUGGCUUAAGAAAAUAAGAUUUUUUUAUAUUAUACUUUAAGUUCUAGGGUACAUGUACACAACAUGCAGGUUUGUUACAUAUGUAUACAUGUGCCAUGUUGGUGUGCUGCACUCAUUAACUCGUCAUUUACAUUAGGUGUAUCUCCUAAUGCUAUCCCUCCCACUUCCCCCACCCCAUGACAGGCCCUGGGGUGUGAUGUCCCUCACCCUGUGUCCAAGUCUUAUUGUUCAGUUCCCACCUAUGAGUGACAACAUGCAGUGUUUGGUUUUCUGUCCUUGUGAUGGUUUGCUCAGAAUGAUGGUUUCCAGCUUCAUCCAUGUCCCUACAAAGUAGGACACGAACUAAUCCUUUUUAUGGCUGCAUAGUAUUCCAUGGUGUAUAUGUGCCACAUUUUCUUAAUCCAGGCUAUCGUUGAUGGACUUUUGAGUUGGUUCUAAGUCUUUGCUAUUGUGAAUGGUGCCGCAAUAAACAUACAUGAACAAAAAAAGUCCUUUUUUCAUGAUGUUCUCUUAUUUCUUGCUGAAAUAAAUGAAAAGAUUCAGUAUGUCCAAGUAUCCUUUAUAGCUAGGACCAGUGGUAUAGGAAGCUAGCCUCAAACUGUUUAUAAUAAAUAUGCAGGGAAAUCCAGAUAUUAGAAAGUCCAAUGAUAAAUCCAGUAUAAAUUUAUCAUAAUACAUAUUAAAAAAUAAAGCAAAUAAAAGCACCAAAAAGCCAACUAGAGCUAACAAACAAGUUUGCCAGAUCACAGAAUACAAAAUGAACAUAUAAAAAUAAAUAAAACCCAGUCACAAUAGUAUCAAAGACAAUAAAAUACUUAAGAAUAAAUUUAACAAAAGAAGUGUAACACUUGUAUGCUGAAAACUACAAAAUAAUGAUGAGAGAAAUUAAAAAUCUAAAUGAAUCAAGACACAUUCUAUAUUUAUGGUUGGAAGUCACAAUAUGUUAAAAUACCAUUUCUACCUUAAUUUAUCUGUCAAUUUCAACAGAAUCCAUUUCAAAGUCGCUGUGAGCUUUUUUUGUAGAAAUUAAAUGUUGAUCCAACAAAUUUAUACAGAAAUGAAAGUACUUGAAGCUUGAACCGUUUUCAAAAAAAUGAACAAAGUUGUAGGACUCAUAUUGCCUAAUUUAAAAAAUUACUAUAAGGUUGUAAUCAAGACAUUAUGAUAUACAUAAAGGAAUAGGUUAGAUCAGUGAAACAGUGUCAGAGUCAAGAAAUUUACCCCUACAUUCAUGGUCAAUUGCUUUCCGAAAAAACUGCCAAUUCAAUUCAGUUUGGAAAAGAUUGUCUUUUUACCAAAUGGUGGCAAGACAAUUUAAUAUCUACAUAAAAAAAUAAGAAGAAGAAGGAGAAGGAGGAUGAGGAGGAGGGGAUGGAGGAAAAGCUUCAUCCUUACCUCCUCAUGCCAUACACAGAAAAGAACUCAAAAUGCAUUACAGACCUAAAUGUAAAAUCCAAUAAUAGAAAGCUUCUAAAAGAAAACACAGGAGAAAAUCUAUAUGACCUUGAGUUAAACAAAGAGUUUUAGACGUGACAGCAAACACACAAUCUAUAAAAGAAAAAGAAAAAAUAAAUUAUAUUUCAAUAAAAUUAAAACAUUUUGUACUUCCAAAGAUACCAUUCAGAAAAUAAAAAGACCAGUUACAGACCAGGCAAAAACAUUUCCAAAUCGUAUAUCUGAUAAAAUACUUGCAGCUUAAAUGUAUUAAGAACUCUUAUAUCUCAGUAACAGACAACUCUAUAUUAAAAUGGACAAAAGGGUUUUUUUUAACAAAGAAGACAUAUGCAUGGUUAAUAAGCACAUAAAAAGGUGUUCAACAUCAUUAAUCAUUUUGGCAGUUUCUUAAAAAGUAAACUAUGAGCUUAUCAUAGAUUCCUACAAUUUUUCUCCUAGAAAUCUACUCAGUAGAAUAUGUGUAUCCACACGAGGACUUGGACAUAAGCACAUACUGCAGAAUUAUUCGUAAUAGCCAAAAAUGGCAACGUUCCAAAUGUCUAUCAACUGAUGAAUGAACCAACAAAAUGUGGUAUAUCUAUGCAGUGAAAUGGUAAUCAUGAUAAAUGACAUGAAUGAACUGCUGACAUAGUCCAUGACAUGGAUAAAGCUAAACUAUACUAAGCCAGGCAUUGGAAAACUUUUUUCUUAAAGGGCCAAAUAGUAAAUGCUUUAGGCUUUUCAGGUCCUAUUGUCUCUGUCAAUAACUCAAUUCUAUUGUUCCACAAAAGCAGCCAUAGACAAUGCAUAAACACAUGAGCAUGGCGUGUACCAUGAAAACUUUACAAAAAGAGACAGCAUGCCCACAACCCAUAGUUUGCCCCAAUCUGUGCUAAGUAAAAGAAAGAAAAUGCAAAAGUCUACAUAUUAUAUUAUUCCAUUUACAUUACAUAUCCAGAAAAGGCAUAUUACAAGAAUAGAAAACGGUGGAUUCCUGGGUCUGGAUGAGAGAACUGAGAUUGACUGGAAAUGGACUUGGGGAAAGUUUUAGGGGGAUAUAGUAAUUUUGUAAUCAUGGAUUAUGGUGAUUCCAGCACCGCUAUAUAAAUUUACUAAAUAUCAUUAAAUUUUCCACUUACAAUGAGCAAAUUUUGUGGCAUGUAAUUUAAACCUCAAUAUAGCUGUAAUGAAUAAACAAAAAGAAAAAUCAAGACUAAAUAAAAUAAGCAAUUGUUCAAUUCCUAUCAUUGGAAAAUGGAAAAGUAAGAAAUAUUUACAGAAAAUAACUUAAAUGUCCUUCUUGCUACUGUUGUAAGAAAAAGCAAAUAUUGGCAGUUAAUUAUGAAAAUAUUUCUCAUGAACUCAUGACCAAAAAUGAAGAGAAAUUUCAGAAAAUUUGCCUGCUCUGUCUGAUUGAUUUGUCGGCUUCUGAAUGAUCCUCUCCAGUCUCUCGAUAACUAGCAAGAUUUACAAGCUCUGCCAAUGUCAAUUGUCACCCACGUUGCAGAAUAUUCAGCAUAGUCUGAAGACCCUGGUCAAAGGGGAAAAUAUAAUAGAUUUUCAAUAAGUUGGUGUUGACAACUAGUAAAAUGACUAUACUUUUAAAAUUUAAUUAAUAUAUGUAAAAGUAGUAGUAGCUGAACUGUCAUAUUCUG